rnacentral:rRNA from 1 species
CCCUUAGAUGUUCUGGGCCGCACGCGCGCUACACUGAUGCAUUCAACGAGUUUCUUCCUGGUCCGAGAGGAAUGGGUAACCUUUUGAAAGUGCAUCGUGAUAGGGAUAGACUAUUGCAAUUAUUGGUCUUCAACGAGGAAUUCCUAGUAGACGUAGUUCAUCAGACUGCAUCGAUUACGUCCCUGCCCUUUGUACACACCGCCCGUCGCUACUACCGAUUGAAUGGCUCAGUGAGGCCUUCGGACUGGCUCAGGGAGGUUGGCAACGACCACCCCGAGCCGGAAAGUUCGUCAAACUCGGUCAUUUAGAGGAAGUAAAAGUCGUAACA